AUUGAACGCUGGCGGCAUGCCUUACACAUGCAAGUCGAACGGCAGCGGGGGAGAAGCUUGCUUUUCCUGCCGGCGAGUGGCGAACGGGUGAGUAAUACAUCGGAACGUGCCCUGUAGUGGGGGAUAACUAGUCGAAAGAUUAGCUAAUACCGCAUACGACCUGAGGGUGAAAGUGGGGGACCGCAAGGCCUCAUGCUAUAGGAGCGGCCGAUGUCUGAUUAGCUAGUUGGUGGGGUAAAGGCCUACCAAGGCGACGAUCAGUAGCUGGGCUGAGAGGACGAUCAGGCACACUGGGACUGAGACACGGCCCAGGCUCCUACGGGAGUCAGCAGUGGGGAAUUUUGGACAAUGGGCGAAAGCCUGAUCCAGCAAUGCCGCGUGUGUGAAGAAGGCCUUCGGGUUGUAAAGCACUUUUGUCCGGAAAGAAAUGGCUCUGGUUAAUACCUGGGGUCGAUGACGGUACCGGAAGAAUAAGGACCGGCUAACUACGUGCCAGCCGCCGCCGCGG
rnacentral:rRNA from 1 species